rnacentral:tRNA from 2 species
GGGCGUGUAGCUCAGUUGGAAGAGCAGCUGACUCUUAAUCAGCGGGUCGAGGGUUCGAGGCCUUCCACGCCCACCA